rnacentral:rRNA from 1 species
GCUGUGAGCUCGAUGAGUAGGGCGGGACACGUGGUAUCCUGUCUGAAUAUGGGGGGACCAUCCUCCAAGGCUAAAUACUCCUGACUGACCGAUAGUGAACCAGUACCGUGAGGGAAAGGCGAAAAGAACCCCGGCGAGGGGAGUGAAAAAGAACCUGAAACCGUGUACGUACAAGCAGUGGGAGCACAGAGCAAUCUGUGUGACUGCGUACCUUUUGUAUAAUGGGUCAGCGACUUAUAUUCUGUAGCAAGGUUAACCGAAUAGGGGAGCCGAAGGGAAACCGAGUCUUAACUGGGCGUUAAGUUGCAGGGUAUAGACCCGAAACCCGGUGAUCUAGCCAUGGGCAGGUUGAAGGUUGGGUAACACUAACUGGAGGACCGAACCGACUAAUGUUGAAAAAUUAGCGGAUGACUUGUGGCUGGGGGUGAAAGGCCAAUCAAACCGGGAGAUAGCUGGUUCUCCCCGAAAGCUAUUUAGGUAGCGCCUCGUGAAUUCAUCUCCGGGGGUAGAGCACUGUUUCGGCAAGGGGGUCAUCCCGACUUACCAACCCGAUGCAAACUGCGAAUACCGGAGAAUGUUAUCACGGGAGACACACGGCGGGUGCUAACGUCCGUCGUGAAGAGGGAAACAACCCAGACCGCCAGCUAAGGUCCCAAAGUCAUGGUUAAGUGGGAAACGAUGUGGGAAGGCCCAGACAGCCAGGAUGUUGGCUUAGAAGCAGCCAUCAUUUAAAGAAAGCGUAAUAGCUCACUGGUCGAGUCGGCCUGCGCGGAAGAUGUAACGGGGCUAAACCAUG